GACGUAGGGGGCGAGCGUUGCCCGGAUUCACUGGGCGUAAAGCGCGUGUAGGCGGUCUGUUAAGUCGGAUGUGAAAGCUCCGGGCUCAACUCGGAAAUUGCAUCCGAUACUGGCAGACUUGAGGACGGUAGAGGUCGGUGGAAUACCAGGUGUACCGGUGAAAUGGGCAGAUAUGUGGAACACCAGUGGCGAAGGCGGCCGACUGGGCCGAUCCUGACGCUGAGACGCGAAAGCCAGGGUAGCGAACCGG
rnacentral:rRNA from 1 species